UAAGACAGAAAGUCAGUACAGUAAGACCAGCAGGCUCAUGUUCCUAUCCACCCAGUAAGACAUAAAGUCAGUACAGUAAGACCAGCAGGCUCAUGUUCCUAUCCACCCAGUAAGACAUAAAGUCAGUACAGUAAAACACAGCAGGCUCAUGUUUCUAUCCACCCAGUAAGACAUAAAGUCAGUACAGUAAGACCAGCAGGCUAAUGUUCCUAUCCACCCAGUAAGAUAAAGUCAGUACAGUAAGACCAGCAGGCUAAUGUUCCUAUCCACCCAAUAAGACCGAGGCUAAUGUUCCUAUCCACCCAAUAAGCCACGGCUCGUUCCUA
rnacentral:lncRNA from 1 species